rnacentral:rRNA from 1 species
CUUGCAUUCUUGAUGGCGACCGGCGUACGGGUGAGUAACGCGUAUCCAACCUGCCCAUCACUACGGGAUAACCCGUUGAAAGGCGGACUAAUACCGUAUGAUAUCGUUUGAUGGCAUCAGAUGACGAUUAAAGGUUUAGCGGUGAUGGAUGGGGAUGCGUCUGAUUAGGUAGUUGGUAAGGUAACGGCUUACCAAGCCUUCGAUCAGUAGGGGUUCUGAGAGGAAGGUCCCCCACAUUGGAACUGAGACACGGUCCAAACUCCUACGGGAGGCAGCAGUGAGGAAUAUUGGUCAAUGGGCGAGAGCCUGAACCAGCCAAGUAGCGUGCAGGAUGACGGCCCUAUGGGUUGUAAACUGCUUUUAUACGGGGAUAAAUGACGCCACGUGUGGUGUUUUGCAGGUACCGUAUGAAUAAGGACCGGCUAAUUCCGUGCCAGCAGCCGCGGUAAUACGGAAGGUCCGGGCGUUAUCCGGAUUUAUUGGGUUUAAAGGGAGCGUAGGCCGUCUGUCAAGCGUGCUGUGAAAUGUACCGGCUCAGCCGGUGACGUGCAGCGCGAACUGU